GGUUAAGCGACUAAGCGUACACGGUGGAUGCCCUGGCAGUCAGAGGCGAUGAAGGACGUGCUAAUCUGCGAUAAGCGUCGGUAAGGUGAUAUGAACCGUUAUAACCGGCGAUUUCCGAAUGGGGAAACCCAGUGUGUUUCGACACACUAUCAUUAACUGAAUCCAUAGGUUAAUGAGGCGAACCGGGGGAACUGAAACAUCUAAGUACCCCGAGGAAAAGAAAUCAACCGAGAUUCCCCCAGUAGCGGCGAGCGAACGGGGAGCAGCCCAGAGCCUGAAUCAGUGUGUGUGUUAGUGGAAGCGUCUGGAAAGGCGCGCGAUACAGGGUGACAGCCCCGUACACAAAAAUGCACAUGCUGUGAGCUCGAUGAGUAGGGCGGGACACGUGGUAUCCUGUCUGAAUAUGGGGGGACCAUCCUCCAAGGCUAAAUACUCCUGACUGACCGAUAGUGAACCAGUACCGUGAGGGAAAGGCGAAAAGAACCCCGGCGAGGGGAGUGAAAAAGAACCUGAAACCGUGUACGUACAAGCAGUGGGAGCCUCUUUUAUGGGGUGACUGCGUACCUUUUGUAUAAUGGGUCAGCGACUUAUAUUCUGUAGCAAGGUUAACCGAAUAGGGGAGCCGAAGGGAAACCGAGUCUUAACUGGGCGUUAAGUUGCAGGGUAUAGACCCGAAACCCGGUGAUCUAGCCAUGGGCAGGUUGAAGGUUGGGUAACACUAACUGGAGGACCGAACCGACUAAUGUUGAAAAAUUAGCGGAUGACUUGUGGCUGGGGGUGAAAGGCCAAUCAAACCGGGAGAUAGCUGGUUCUCCCCGAAAGCUAUUUAGGUAGCGCCUCGUGAAUUCAUCUCCGGGGGUAGAGCACUGUUUCGGCAAGGGGGUCAUCCCGACUUACCAACCCGAUGCAAACUGCGAAUACCGGAGAAUGUUAUCACGGGAGACACACGGCGGGUGCUAACGUCCGUCGUGAAGAGGGAAACAACCCAGACCGCCAGCUAAGGUCCCAAAGUCAUGGUUAAGUGGGAAACGAUGUGGGAAGGCCCAGACAGCCAGGAUGUUGGCUUAGAAGCAGCCAUCAUUUAAAGAAAGCGUAAUAGCUCACUGGUCGAGUCGGCCUGCGCGGAAGAUGUAACGGGGCUAAACCAUGCACCGAAGCUGCGGCAGCGACGCUGAUGCGUUGUUGGGUAGGGGAGCGUUCUGUAAGCCUGUGAAGGUGUGCUGUGAGGCAUGCUGGAGGUAUCAGAAGUGCGAAUGCUGACAUAAGUAACGAUAAAGCGGGUGAAAAGCCCGCUCGCCGGAAGACCAAGGGUUCCUGUCCAACGUUAAUCGGGGCAGGGUGAGUCGACCCCUAAGGCGAGGCCGAAAGGCGUAGUCGAUGGGAAACAGGUUAAUAUUCCUGUACUUGGUGUUACUGCGAAGGGGGGACGGAGAAGGCUAUGUUGGCCGGGCGACGGUUGUCCCGGUUUAAGCGUGUAGGCUGGUUUUCCAGGCAAAUCCGGAAAAUCAAGGCUGAGGCGUGAUGACGAGGCACUACGGUGCUGAAGCAACAAAUGCCCUGCUUCCAGGAAAAGCCUCUAAGCAUCAGGUAACAUCAAAUCGUACCCCAAACCGACACAGGUGGUCAGGUAGAGAAUACCAAGGCGCUUGAGAGAACUCGGGUGAAGGAACUAGGCAAAAUGGUGCCGUAACUUCGGGAGAAGGCACGCUGAUAUGUAGGUGAAGCGACUUGCUCGUGGAGCUGAAAUCAGUCGAAGAUACCAGCUGGCUGCAACUGUUUAUUAAAAACACAGCACUGUGCAAACACGAAAGUGGACGUAUACGGUGUGACGCCUGCCCGGUGCCGGAAGGUUAAUUGAUGGGGUCAGCGCAAGCGAAGCUCUUGAUCGAAGCCCCGGUAAACGGCGGCCGUAACUAUAACGGUCCUAAGGUAGCGAAAUUCCUUGUCGGGUAAGUUCCGACCUGCACGAAUGGCGUAAUGAUGGCCAGGCUGUCUCCACCCGAGACUCAGUGAAAUUGAACUCGCUGUGAAGAUGCAGUGUACCCGCGGCAAGACGGAAAGACCCCGUGAACCUUUACUAUAGCUUGACACUGAACAUUGAGCCUUGAUGUGUAGGAUAGGUGGGAGGCUUAGAAGUGUGGACGCCAGUCUGCAUGGAGCCGACCUUGAAAUACCACCCUUUAAUGUUUGAUGUUCUAACGUGGACCCGUAAUCCGGGUUGCGGACAGUGUCUGGUGGGUAGUUUGACUGGGGCGGUCUCCUCCUAAAGAGUAACGGAGGAGCACGAAGGUUGGCUAAUCCUGGUCGGACAUCAGGAGGUUAGUGCAAUGGCAUAAGCCAGCUUGACUGCGAGCGUGACGGCGCGAGCAGGUGCGAAAGCAGGUCAUAGUGAUCCGGUGGUUCUGAAUGGAAGGGCCAUCGCUCAACGGAUAAAAGGUACUCCGGGGAUAACAGGCUGAUACCGCCCAAGAGUUCAUAUCGACGGCGGUGUUUGGCACCUCGAUGUCGGCUCAUCACAUCCUGGGGCUGAAGUAGGUCCCAAGGGUAUGGCUGUUCGCCAUUUAAAGUGGUACGCGAGCUGGGUUUAGAACGUCGUGAGACAGUUCGGUCCCUAUCUGCCGUGGGCGCUGGAGAACUGAGGGGGGCUGCUCCUAGUACGAGAGGACCGGAGUGGACGCAUCACUGGUGUUCGGGUUGUCAUGCCAAUGGCACUGCCCGGUAGCUAAAUGCGGAAGAGAUAAGUGCUGAAAGCAUCUAAGCACGAAACUUGCCCCGAGAUGAGUUCUCCCUGACCCUUUAAGGGUCCUGAAGGAACGUUGAAGACGACGACGUUGAUAGGCCGGGUGUGUAAGCGCAGCGAUGCGUUGAGCUAACCGGUACUAAUGAACCGUGAGGCUUAACCUU
rnacentral:rRNA from 1 species